rnacentral:rRNA from 1 species
UCUCUUCGGGGAUGAGUAAAGUGGCGCACGGGUGAGUAACGCGUGGGUAAUCUGCCCUUAGGUUUGGGAUAACCCCGGGAAACCGGAGCUAAUACCGAAUGAGACCACGAUGACUUCGGUCGAUGUGGGAAAAGGUGGCCUCUUCUUGAAAGCUAUCGCCAAAGGAUGAGCCCGCGUUUGAUUAGCUAGUUGGWGAGGUAAUGGCUCACCAAGGCUACGAUCAAUAGCUGGUCUGAGAGGACGAUCAGCCACACUGGAACUGAGACACGGUCCAGACUCCUACGGGAGGCAGCAGUCAGGAAUAUUGGGCAAUGGGCGAAAGCCUGACCCAGCAACGCCGCGUGAAGGAUGAAGGCCUUCGGGUCGUAAACUUCUGUCGAGAGGGAAGAAUGCGUACGGGUGAAUAAUCCGUGCGUUUGACGGUACCUCAAAAGGAAGCACCGGCUAACUCCGUGCCAGCAGCCGCGGUAACACGGAGGGUGCAAGCGUUGUCCGGAUUCAUUGGGCGUAAAGCGAGUGUAGGCGGUUUGACAAGUCGAAUGUGAAAUCCCGGGGCCCAACCCCGGAACUGCAUCCGAUACUGUCUGGCUAGAGUCCCGGAGAGGGUGGCGGAAUUCCCGGUGUAGGGGUGAAAUCCGUAGAUAUCGGGAGGAACACCAGUGGCGAAGGCGGCCACCUGGACGGUGACUGACGCUGAGACUCGAAAGCGUGGGUAGCAAACAGGAUUAGAUACCCUGGUAGUCCACGCUGUAAACGGUGAGUGCUCGUCGUCGUGGGUAUUGACCCCUGCGGUGACCAAGUUAACACAUGAAGCACUCCGCCUGGGAAGUACGGUCGCAAGACUAAAACUCAAGAAAUUGACGGGGGCCCGCACAAGCGGUGGAGCAUGUUGUUUAAUUCGAAGCACGCGCARACCUUACCUGGAUUUGACAUCUCUGGAAUCCUCCUGAAG